rnacentral:rRNA from 1 species
UACGUAGGGGGCUAGCGUUGUCCGGAAUCAUUGGGCGUAAAGCGCGUGUAGGCGGUCCGGUAAGUCCGCUGUGAAAGCCGGGGGCUCAAACCUCGGAUGCCGGUGGAUACUGUCGGGCUUGAGUACGGAAGAGGCGAGUGGAAUUCCUGGUGUAGCGGUGAAAUGCGCAGAUAUCAGGAGGAACACCAAUUGCGAAGGCAGCUCGCUGGGACGUUACUGACGCUGAGACGCGAAAGCGUGGGGAGCAAACAGG